CGGUUGAUCCUGCCGGAGGUCACUGCUAUUGGGAUUCGACUAAGCCAUGCGAGUCGAGAGGGUUCGGCCCUCGGCUGACGGCUCAGUAACACGUGGAUAAUCUGCCCUUAGGUGGAGGAUACCCUCGGGAAACUGAGAAUAAUACUCCAUAGGCCUAGGAUGCUGGAAUGCACCUAGGCUGAAAGUUCCGGCGCCUAAGGAUGAGUCUGCGGACUAUCAGGUUGUAGUCAGGGUAAAGACCUGACUAGCCUACGACGGAUACGGGUUGUGAGAGCAAUAACCCGGAGAUGAUAUCUGAGACACGAUAUCAGGCCCUACGGGGCGCAGCAGGCGCGAAAACUUCACACUGUGCGAAAGCACGAUGAGGGAAUCCCAAGUGCUUGCACGUAAGUGUAAGCUGUUUUUCUGUCUAAAACACAGAGAGAGUAAGAGCUGGGUAAGACGGGUGCCAGCCGCCGCGGUAAUACCUGCAGCUCAAGUGGUGGCCGCUAUUAUUGGGCCUAAAACGUUCGUAGCCGGUUUAGUAAAUGCCUGGGUAAAUCGUGUAGCUUAACUAUACGAAUUCCGGGUAGACUGCUGAACUUGAGACCGGGAGAGGCUAGAGGUACUCCUGGGGUAGAGGUGAAAUUCUGUAAUCCUAGGGGGACCACCAGUGGCGAAGGCGUCUAGCUAGAACGGAUCUGACGGUGAGGGACGAAGCCCUGGGGCACAAACCGGAUUAGAUACCCGGGUAGUCCAGGGUGUAAACGCUGCUUGCUGAUNNNUAGUUGGGCUCCGAGCCCAANNNNNNNCGGAGAGAAGUUGUUAAGCAAGCUGCCUGGGAAGUACGGUCGCAAGGCUGAAACUUAAAGGAAUUGGCGGGGGAGCAC
rnacentral:rRNA from 1 species